rnacentral:rRNA from 1 species
GACAGAGGCCCCGAGCGUUAGGCGGAAUCACUGGGCUUAAAGCGUGUGUAGGCGGACCGGUAAGUACCUUGUGAAAUCCCACGGCUCACCCGUGGAACUGCUGGGGAUACUGCCGGUCUCGGGCCAACUAGGGGCAACUGGAACAAGCGGUGGAGCGGUGAAAUGCGUAGAUAUCGCUUGGAACGCCGAAGGUGAAAACAGGUUGCUGGGGUUGUGCCGACGCUGAGACACGAAAGCCAGGGGAGCGAACGGG